CUUGCUUUCUUUGCUGGCGACCGGCGCACGGGUGAGUAACACGUAUCCAACCUGCCCUUUACUCGGGGAUAGCCUUUCGAAAGAAAGAUUAAUACCCGAUGGGAUAAUUAUUCCGCAUGGUUUGAUUAUUAAAGGAUUCCGGUAAUGGAUGGGGAUGCGUUCCAUUAGGUUGUUGGUGAGGUAACGGCUCACCAAGCCUUCGAUGGAUAGGGGUUCUGGGAGGAAGGUCCCCCACAUUGGAACUGAGACACGGUCCAA
rnacentral:rRNA from 1 species